rnacentral:rRNA from 1 species
GACGAACGCUGGCGGCGUGCUUAACACAUGCAAGUCGUACGGUAAGGCCCUUUCGGGGGUACACGAGUGGCGAACGGGUGAGUAACACGUGAGUAACCUGCCCACAACUUUGGGAUAAUGCUAGGAAACUGGUGCUAAUACUGGAUAUGUGCUCCUGCUGCAUGGUGGGGGUUGGAAAGCUCCGGCGGUUGUGGAUGGACUCGCGGCCUAUCAGCUUGUUUGUGGGGUAGUGGCCUACCAAGGCGGCGACGGGUAGCCGGCCUGAGAGGGUGACCGGCCACAUUAGGACUGAGAUACGGCCCAGACUCCUACGGGAGGCAGCAGUGGGGAAUAUUGCACAAUGGGCGCAAGCCUGAUGCAGCAACGCCGCGUGCGGGAUGACGGCCUUCGGGUUGUAAACCGCUUUCAGCAGGGACGAAGCUUUUUGUGACGGUACCUGCAGAAGAAGCACCGGCUAACUACGUG